rnacentral:rRNA from 1 species
UACGUAGGGUGCGAGCGUUAAUCGGAAUUACUGGGCGUAAAGCGUGCGCAGGCGGCUUCGCAAGUCAGACGUGAAAUCCCCGGGCUUAACCUGGGAAUGGCGUUUGAAACUACGGAGCUGGAGUGUGGCAGAGGGAGGUAGAAUUCCACGUGUAGCGGUGAAAUGCGUAGAGAUGCGGAGGAACACCGAUGGCGAAGGCAGCCCCCUGGGCUAGCACUGACGCUCAGGCACGAAAGCGUGGGGAGCAAACAGG